rnacentral:rRNA from 1 species
GACGAACGCUGGCGGCGUGCUUAACACAUGCAAGUCGAACGAUGAAGAAAAGAAUUGAAGCUUCGGCAGAAAUUCAUUUCGGAUUAGUGGCAGACGGGUGAGUAACGCGUGAGCAACCUACCUCUUACAAAGGGAUAGCCUCGGGAAACCGGGAUUAAUACCAUAUAACAUUGCGACGAAGCAUUUCGAUGCAAUCAAAGCUACGGCGGUAAGAGCUGGGCUCGCGUCCCAUUAACCAGAUGGUGAGGUAACGGCUCACCAUAGUAACGAUGGGUAACCGGACGGAGAGGGGGAACGGUAACACUGGAACUGAGACACGGUCCAGAAUCCUACGGGAGGAAGCAGUGGGGAAUAUUGCACAAGGGAGGGAACUCUGAGGCAGCGACGCCGCGUGAGUGAUGAAGGAAUUCGUUUCGUAAAACUCUGUUCUAUGGGAAGAAAAGGACUGUACCAUAGGAGAAAGCGCCGGCUAAAUACGUG